AGUGAACGCUGGCGGUAGGCCUAACACAUGCAAGUCGAACGGCAGCACAGUAAGAGCUUGCUCUUACGGGUGGCGAGUGGCGGACGGGUGAGGAAUACAUCGGCAUCUACUUUUUCGUGGGGGAUAACGUAGGGAAACUUACGCUAAUACCGCAUACGACCUACGGUUGAAAGCAGGGGAUCUUCGGACCUUGCGCGAUUGAAUGAGCCGAUGUCGGAUUAGCUAGUUGGCGGGGUAAAGGCCCACCAAGGCGACGAUCCGUAGCUGGUCUGAGAGGAUGAUCAGCCACACUGGAACUGAGACACGGUCCAGACUCCUACGGGAGGCAGCAGUGGGGAAUAUUGGACAAUGGGCGCAAGCCUGAUCCAGCCAUACCGCGUGGGUGAAGAAGGCCUUCGGGUUGUAAAGCCCUUUUGUUGGGAAAGAAAAGCAGCAGGUUAAUACCCCGCUGUUCUGACGGUACCCAAAGAAUAAGCACCGGCUAACUUCGUG
rnacentral:rRNA from 1 species